rnacentral:rRNA from 1 species
UGGGGAAUAUUGCACAAUGGGCGCAAGCCUGAUGCAGCCAUGCCGCGUGUAUGAAGAAGGCCUUCGGGUUGUAAAGUACUUUCAGCGAGGAGGAAGGCAUUAAGGUUAAUAACCUUGGUGAUUGACGUUACUCGCAGAAGAAGCACCGGCUAACUCCGUGCCAGCAGCCAGCGGUAAUACGGAGGGUGCAAGCGUUAAUCGGAAUUACUGGGCGUAAAGCGCACGCAGGCGGUCUGUCAAGUCGGAUGUGAAAUCCCCGGGCUCAACCUGGGAACUGCAUUCGAAACUGGCAGGCUAGAGUCUUGUAGAGGGGGUAGAAUUCCAGGUGUAGCGGUGAAAUUGCGUAGAGAUCUGGAGGAAUACCGGUGGCGAAGGCGGCCCCCUGGACAAAGACUGACGCUCAGGUGCGAAAGCGUGGGAGCAAACA